GCUUUAGGGUGAUGAUCGAGGCGGUUGGGAAAUUUUUAACUUUUGAGAAAUAUUCAUUUAAAGGUUUUCAGGCUUUUCAGGUUGAGGUUACGGGAUGACGUCAUAUGCGAACUAUAUAAGCUAUGAGAAAUCUUGGAUACGUGGACGGAUAAUAAUAGAAUGGAAUUCAAAUUUUAUCUUAUGUUUAGACUGGAAUGAUGAUAACAUCAGAUUAAAAAGGAUUUCUUCGAUUGAAUGACAUAGUUUAUUCUUGAACUUCUCUUGGCUUUCAUCGCUCGACGAGGCACUUGCUGUCCUAAUUAAAUAAUGCCGUAAUCUUGAGAUAAGCGCUCGGUCAAAUUUCUUCCUCAAACAUUCUGCUAUUGAGCAGACGUUGGACUCAAUAGUUCUUGAUUCAUCUUUAAUGCUAUGCUCACGGGGGUCGAUGGUUUGUCGUCUGAGACGUAACUCGAAAUUAAUUUCAUCCUCAGUGAGAUGAUCCGCUACCGGUAAAAUAUAAGGACCACUCAUUUUAUAGACUUUAAAAUUCA